rnacentral:rRNA from 1 species
GGGGAAUAUUGCACAAUGGAGGAAACUCUGAUGCAGCAACGCCGCGUGUGUGAUGAAGGUCUUCGGAUUGUAAAGCUCUGUCAUCUGGGACGAUAAUGACGGUACCAGAUGAGGAAGCCACGGCUAACUACGUGCCAGCAGCCGCGGUAAUACGUAGGUGGCAAGCGUUGUCCGGAAUUACUGGGCGUAAAGGGUGCGCAGGCGGACAUUUAAGUGAGAUGUGAAAGACCCGGGCUUAACUUGGGCAGUGCAUUUCAAACUGGAUGUCUGGAGUGCAGGAGAGGAGAACGGAAUUCCUAGUGUAGCGGUGAAAUGCGUAGAGAUUAGGAAGAAUACCAGUGGCGAAGGCGGCUUUCUGGACUGUAGCUGACGCUGAGGCAUGAAAGCGUGGGGAGCAAAC